rnacentral:rRNA from 1 species
GACGAACGCUGGCGGCGUGCUUAACACAUGCAAGUCUACGAGAACGAGGUAGCAAUAUCUUUAGUAAAGUGGCGCACGGGUGCGUAACACGUAAGCAAUCUACCUUUGGGUCUGGAAUAACUUCGAGAAAUCGAGGCUAAUACCGGAUAAUGCAGCGGCACCGCAUGGUGAUGUUGUUAAAGUUUGAGUAAUGCCUAUAGAUGAGCUUGCGUCUGAUUAGCUAGUUGGUAGGGUAAAGGCCUACCAAGGCAACGAUCAGUAGCUGGUCUGAGGGGAUGAUCAGCCAAACUGGAACUGAGACACGGUCCAGACUCCUACGGGAGGCAGCAGUGAGGAAUAUUGGGCAAUGCCCGCAAGGGUGACCCAGCAACGCCGCGUGGAGGAUGAAGGCCGUAAGGUUGUAAACUCCUGUUAGAGGAGAAGAAUAGUGCCGAUUGGAUCGGUAUUUGACUGUACCCUCAGAGAAAGCCCCGGCUAACUACGUGCCAGCCGCCGCGGUAAAAC